CGGCAGCAUCCGCGCCGGGCACGGGCGGGAGGAGGAGCGGGAGGUUACGGCGGGGAGCCGGGACAAACCAUUCCCUGCGAGGGGACACCGCCGGCGGCCGGGCGGCCGGGCGGGGCGGGCAGCGCGGACCCUCCCACACAGCCCAGCAUUUCUCUUCCCUCCUUCCUUGAAAUCCCAGCUGCCAUGGAAGUUGUGCUCUCCAACCCCACUGAAACUCUCAGAAGCCUUUUACUUCUAACUGUAUAAUCCUAAAAUUUGUGGAUGAAAAAGCCCUCUAUAAAUGCACUUUAGCUUCCUGGCUUGUAAAUGUAAGGAAAAUGCACUGCAGGCACCUGACUGAAGAACAUCUGCUGAAACCCUCUGAGCCUGGAAUGACCACUCAUUGAUGGCACUACCAAUAUAAAAAAAAAUUU